rnacentral:rRNA from 1 species
UACGUAGGGGGCAAGCGUUGUCCGGAAUUAUUGGGCGUAAAGAGCUCGUAGGCGGCCAGUUGCGUCUGCUGUGAAAUCCCGGGGCUCAACCCCGGGCGUGCAGUGGAUACGGGCUGGCUAGAGGCAGGCAGGGGAGAACGGAAUUCCCGGUGUAGCGGUGAAAUGCGCAGAUAUCGGGAGGAACACCGGUGGCGAAGGCGGUUCUCUGGGCCUGUACUGACGCUGAGGAGCGAAAGCGUGGGGAGCGAACAGG